rnacentral:rRNA from 1 species
AACGAACGCUGGCGGCGCGUUUUAAGCAUGCAAGUCGAACGGUAGUGAGGUGCUUGCACCUCAUGAGAGUGGCGAACGGGUGAGUAACACGUAGGUGAUUUACCUUUGGUUUUGGGAUAGCCUGUGGAAACACAGGGUAAUACCGGAUGAGGUUUUGAGGUUGAGGCCUUAAGACGAAAGGCGCUAAGGCGCCGACUGGAGAUGAGCCUGCGGUCCAUUAGUUAGUUGGUGGGGUAAAGGCCUACCAAGGCUACGAUGGAUAGCCGGCCUGAGAGGGUGGCCGGCCACACUGGGACUGAGACACGGCCCAGACUCCUACGGGAGGCAGCAGCUAAGAAUCUUCCGCAAUGGGGGAAACCCUGACGGAGCGACGCCGCGUGGACGAUGAAGGCCGGAAGGUUGUAAAGUCCUUUUCUUGAUGA